CUAGAUUUUUGUUAAUGUGGUGAAUGAAACUGAUGUUUCCACCGGUCAUCCCAAUAUCCAGAGCUACAAGAAAUCUACUGGUUGGUAAUUCUCACAAGCACCAUCCAGGUUUCCCAGAUGAGGAAAUCAGGCUUAGAGACAAUAAGUGGCUUUGUCCCAGGCCUCAGUCAGGAAGGGCCAGAGCCGGGAUUUGAAUGCAAGACUCUCUACCACUUUCCAUUGCACCAGGCAGAGAGGAAGAAGGAAAAAAUACAAGUAUGCUUGAAUGUCCACCACCUUCCGGGCACUGUGUUGACGUGGGACAUGGCAGCGAACGAGACAAACCCUGCAGAGCCCUGGGGAUCUCACAUGAGCAAAAGCUUCACUUCUGAGAUCCCUGAGUCACCGUGUAAGAUGUCUGACACCCCUGCUCAUGGGACCAUGGGAAAAGGCCAUGUGGAGAGGAAGAGAGGCCCAGCUGAUGACUCAGCAUCUUAGUUCAGCCUCCAGAUGACUCCAGCCCCAGCCUUUAUCUGGAUGCACCUACGUGAGAGACCCCGAGCAGACCAGCAGAAGAACCAGCAAGCUGAACCCAGUCCACCCACUGACCCAGGAGAGAGAAUAAAAUAGUGGUUGUUUUAAA
rnacentral:lncRNA from 1 species